UCCGGAUUUAUUGGGCNUAAAGCGAGCGCAGGCGGUUAGAUAAGUNUGAAGUUAAAGGCUGUGGCUUAACCAUAGUACGCUUUGGAAACUGUUUAACUUGAGUGCAGAAGGGGAGAGNGGAAUUCCAUGUGUAGCGGUGAAAUGCGUAGAUAUAUGGAGGAAUGCCGGUGGCGAAAGCGGCUCUCUGGUCUGUAACUGACGCUGAGGCUCGAAGGCGUGGGGAGCGAACAGGAUUAGAUACCCUGGUAGUCCACGCCGUAAACGAUGAGUGCUAGGUGUUAGGCCCUUUCCGGGGCUUAGUGCCGCAGCUAACGCAUUAAGCACUCCGCCUGGGGAGUACGACCGCAAGGUUGAAACUCAAAGGAAUUGACGGGGGCCCGCACAAGCGGUGGAGCAUGUGGUUUAAUUCGAAGCAACGCGAAGAACCUUACCAGGUCUUGACAUCCCGAUGCCCGCUCUAGAGAUAGAGUUUUACUUCGGUACAUCGGUGACAGGUGGUGCAUGGUUGUCGUCAGCUCGUGUCGUGAGAUGUUGGGUUAAGUCCCGCAACGAGCGCAACCCUUAUUGUUAGUUGCCAUCAUUCAGUUGGGCACUCUAGCGAGACUGCCGGUAAUAAACCGGAGGAAGGUGGGGAUGACGUCAAAUCAUCAUGCCCCUUAUGACCUGGGCUACACACGUGCUACAAUGGCUGGUACAACGAGUCGCAAGUCGGUGACGGCAAGCUAAUCUCUUAAAGCCAGUCUCAGUUCGGAUUGUAGGCUGCAACUCGCCUACAUGAAGUCGGAAUCGCUAGUAAUCGCGGAUCAGCACGCCGCGGUGAAUACGUUCCCGGGCCUUGUACACACCGCCCGUCACACCACGAGAGUUUGUAACACCCGAAGUCGGUG
rnacentral:rRNA from 1 species